rnacentral:rRNA from 1 species
GAUGAACGCUAGCGGCAGGCUUAAUACAUGCAAGUCGUGGGGCAGCAUGAGUGUAGCAAUACAUUUGAUGGCGACCGGCAAACGGGUGCGGAACACGUACACAACCUUCCUUCAAGUGGGGAAUAGCCCAGGGAAACUUGGAUUAAUACCCCGUAAUAUUAUGGAGUGGCAUCACUUUAUAAUUAUAGCUCCGGCGCUUGAUGAUGGGUGUGCGCCUGAUUAGGUAGUUGGCGGGUAACGGCCCACCAAGCCUUCGAUCAGUAACUGGUGUGAGAGCACGACCAGUCACACGGGCACUGAGACACGGGCCCGACUCCUACGGGAGCAGCAGUAAGAUAUUGGUCAAUGGACGCAAGUCUGAACCAGCCAUGCCGCGUGAAGGAUGAAGGCCCU